ACAGAGAAUGAGCCAGAUUGCUGAGGGGGAUCAAGGAAUGAAAUACAGACUCAAAAGCUGCAUAGACUCAGAAACCCCAAAACUUUCCCAAAACCCAACCUGGAACAUUUAUCUUCCUGACUUUCUUUAGUCUCAGGCCAGUUUUUAACCAUUAGACGACUUACAAUUAUAAUGUUGACAAUGCUUAGGUUAGAGGUGGCUGCAGGGAAUUCUCUUUCUAAAUUCAGUUGCUUGGGUAGGUGGUGUUGGCAAGACUGUCUUGUCUUUUGGUGCCAACUCCGAAGUACCAGAAUGCCAUUCCUGAGCUGGAGUUCUACGAAUCAUGGUCUGGAGAUGAAAACUGGGAAGACAAAGGGAGCCUGAAGAGGGGAUGAUGUGGAAAGACUAAAAGAGUGGUGAAGAGAGGAGAGAAAAGAGAGGAGUCAUGAAAGAUAUAAGAACAAGGAACAGACAGUUGUUUGCAAAAUAGAAUGAGGGGCAGAAGGAAAUGACAGGG
rnacentral:lncRNA from 1 species